GACGAACGCUGGCGGCGUGCUUAACACAUGCAAGUCGAACGAAGAGCGACGGAAGCUUGCUUCUAUCAAUCUUAGUGGCGAACGGGUGAGUAACGCGUAAUCAACCUGCCCUUCAGAGGUGGACAACAGUUGGAAACGGCUGCUAAUACCGCAUACGAUCUAACCUCGGCAUCGAGGAUAGAUGAAAGGUGGCCUCUACAUGUAAGCUAUCACUGAAGGAGGGGAUUGCGUCUGAUUAGCUAGUUGGAGGGGUAACGGCCCACCAAGGCGAUGAUCAGUAGCCGGUCUGAGAGGAUGAACGGCCACAAUGGGACUGAGACACGGCCCAGACUCCUACGGGAGGCAGCAGGGGGGAAUCUUCCGCAAUGGACGAAAGUCUGACGGAGCAACGCCGCGUGAGUGAUGAAGGCCUUCGGGUUGUAAAGCUCUGUUAAUCGGGACGAAAGGCCUUCUUGCGAAUAGGGAGAAGGAUUGACGGUACCGGAAUAGAAAGCCACGGCUAACUACGUG
rnacentral:rRNA from 1 species